rnacentral:SRP_RNA from 1 species
GGAGGUUGGCGGCGGACGGGUCCCUCGCCAACCGGGUCAGGUCCGGAAGGAAGCAGCCCUAACGAGAUUGACGCGGGUUGCCGUUCCAGCCUCCCAC